GUGGGGAAUAUUGGACAAUGGGCGAAAGCCUGAUCCAGCCAUGCCGCGUGUGUGAAGAAGGUCUUCGGAUUGUAAAGCACUUUAAGUUGGGAGGAAGGGCAGUAAGUUAAUACCUUGCUGUUUUGACGUUACCGACAGAAUAAGCACCGGCUAACUUCGUGCCAGCAGCCGCGGUAAUACGAAGGGUGCAAGCGUUAAUCGGAAUUACUGGGCGUAAAGCGCGCGUAGGUGGCUUUGUAAGUUGGAGGUGAAAUCCCCGGGCUCAACCUGGGAACUACCUCCAAAACUGCAUGACUAGAGUACGGUAGAGGGUAGUGGAAUUUCCUGUGUAGCGGUGAAAUGCGUAGAUAUAGGAAGGAACACCAGUGGCGAAGGCGACUACCUGGACUGAUACUGACACUGAGGUGCGAAAGCGUGGGGAGCAAACAGGAUUAGAAACCCCAGUAGUCC
rnacentral:rRNA from 1 species